AUCAGAGGAGCCUGAGCGUAAUGUUAAUGUUCUGAGUGCUUCUGAAGUGACAGGAAGUGGUGCAUAUGCCCAGGGACAAAGCCAAGUUGAGGAGCAGAACCACAGUAGCUUGAGGAAGGAAUAGGUGAGAGUAGUGAUCCACCUGCCUCGGCCUCCCAAAGUGCUGGGAUUACAGGCGUGAGCCACCGCGUCCAGCCAAUUGGUGGGUUCCUGGUCUCACUGACUUCAAGAAUGAAGCCACGGACCCUCGCAGUGAGUGUUACAGUUCUUAAAGAUGGUGUGUUCAGAAUUUGUUCCUUCUGAUGUUCGGACGUGUAUGGAGUUUCUUCAUUCUGGUGGGUUCGUGGUCUCUCUGGCUUCAGGAAUGAAGCUGUAGAACUCUGCGAAAUAAGCUUCAAAUGAAAUAGGCUUUCGAUGUGACAGUGUUUACAGGAAACAUUAUGCUGUUACGAACUUCCCUUAGAAUCAACCCAUUUGUGAAACACCACAUUAAUAAGAGCAGUAUCUUUGGAGAUUGGAGAGUCCACCAAGGAUGCCCACUGGCUCCCUACAAAGUUUUUUAUGUGAGGACUCGGUCUCAGGCUCAGAAGUGGAAGAGAUGUGCCUUGACUCAGAUGAGACUUUGGACUUGGACUUUUGAGUUAAUUCUGGAAUGAGUUAAAACUUUAGGGGACUGUUGGGAAGGCAUUAUUGUGUUUUAAAUGUGAAAAGAACAUGAGGUAUGGGAGGGGUCAGGGGUGGAAUGAUAUGGUUUGGCUCUGUGUCCCCACCCAAAUCUCAUGUCAAAUUUUAAUCCCCAGUGUUGGUGGAGGAGCCUAGUGAGAGGUGACUGAAUCACAGGGGCAGACUUCCUCCUUGUUUCUCUUGUGAUAGUGAGUGAGUUCUCAUGAACUCUGGUUGUUGUAAAGUGUGUGGCACCUUUCCCUUCACUCUCUCUCUUCCUCCUGCUCUUGCCGUGAGAAUAAGUGCAUGCUUCCCCUCCUGCCAUGGGAAUAAGUGCAUGCUUCCCCUCCUGCCAUGAGAACAAGUGCAUGCUUCUCCUUUUGCCUUCUACCAUGUUUGAAAGUUUCCUGAAGCCUCUCCAGCCAUGCUCCCUGUGCAGCCUGCAGAACUAUGAGCCAAUUAAACAUGUUUUUGUAUAUAAAUUACCCAAUCUUAAGUAGUUCUUUAUAGCAACACAAGAAUAAACUCAUACAACCCCCAUUAUCAUUCAGCUAAAUAUGGUUGGGUUUUUGGAGCCUCAAGCAUGAAGGUGAACUGGCUAUGGCUAUACCAGCCUGAAAGGAUUGAACUCUCCCCUGGAAUCCCAGAACAAAUUCCUUCAACUGAAAAUGUCUCUCCUGUCUCGAGGAGCAAGUCCCCACAAAUUUAUUUUCUCACUUUCAUCCAAACUCUGAUAAUUCUGGAAAGAAGACCAAAGAUUUGUCAAUAACAGGCACUCUUAGGGCAGUGUCUGUUCCCUGAGCUGAUCAUAGGAGCAUGUUGGGAAAUUUCAUCAAAUGUAAAAUCAAAGCCUUGUAUUAGACUUAGCAAAAGUUAGCCGUUGGCAAAUUGUGAAAUUGGUUAAGUAUGCCUGUGGCACCUUCCCACUUUCAUAAUUAAUUUUUAUGCCCUCCCACUUGGCUCUUAUAACCCUACAAGUACAAAUAAUUGGUCAUUUGUGUGACUUUCUGUUUAUUGCAUGUCUCUAUUUAACUUGCUAUAAUUUGCAUAUGUGUGGAGACUACACUUGUCUUUUUGGCUACUAUAUCCUUCUGUCCCCUAAUAUUGUACCUGAUUAUGGAAUACGCCAAUUUAUUAAAUGAAUAAAGUUUUUUUAAAUAUCUUGACCCCUUUUUGGAACAUUAUAUAGCACAAAAAUAAUUGUUCAGUGACUGUACCUUAACUGAAUGGAUUGUAUGAGUAAUGGAAGUGGUUAAGAUAUGAAUCACUCUGGGAUUGCAUUUCCACAAAACUUUUCCAAGACCUAUCAUAAGAGGGAGGGAAGAGUGAGACCUCCCAAUACACUGUAUAUUUACAAGAACUGCAAAACUUUCAAUGGUAUGUUUCUUUACUUGUAGCAGGCUUUAGGUUUCAACCUGUUCUCUCUAAUGCCUGCCACUGUCUACCUCAUCUCUGUGACUUCUGUCUCCAUGUAGUUGGCUGUGAAAUAGGAUGCAGUUUCUUCUUCUUCCCUUGCUAUUUUUGUUUAAUGGACACAAGUCCCUAUUUAAUCACCUGGAAAAGCUACCAGAAGGGGAAGAAAGCAAGCCACAUUGAGAGUAUACACUACUCUUACUAAUAUAAUCUUAGGCCAUUUGUACUGUUUUUGUUUCUGGGCCAUAUUGUAAACUCUUUGGUAUGGAACAAUAAUAAUCAAAAUUGCUUACAUGUAUUGAGUACAUGUUAUUUAUUAUACUCAUUUGACACUUUAAACUGUUUUGUCAUUUAGUCUCAAAAUGGUUUGGAUUUACAAAUGAGUACACUGAGGCUCAAAAAGGAGUAGGCCGUUUUCAAAGGUAACUCAGCUAGUAAGUGACAGAGAUGGAUCUGAAAUCCAGGUCUCGAUUAUCCCAAAACUUUUGUUCUCACUGUCCAACGACUGAUUUAAGACAAAACGUUGCUGGCUUCUAAUUUCAAGUGAAAAAGUGUUAUUUCUAAGGAUGUCCAGAAUGGAUGAAAUGUAAUUUAUUAAACUUCCCCUCUUACGUAUUUUGGCAAUUCUCUCUCAUCUUUUUAGUAUAUGAAGCAGUGACUCAGAAAACAAAUUCCCAGAGUGAAUGAAUACCUGUAGCCCCCUAGUGGCCUAAGAAUGUUAUCCACUUCACAGUGAACUGGGAUAACUCAGAAGCAUUUCCUCA
rnacentral:lncRNA from 1 species